AGGCAGCAUGCUGGUUAAGAGUCAUCACCACUCCCUAAUCUCAAGUACCCAGGGACACAAACACUCUGCCUAGGAAAACCAGAGACCUUUGUUCACUUGUUUAUCUGCUGACCUUCCCUCCACUAUUGUCCUAUGACCCUGCCAAAUCCCCCUCUGCGAGAAACACCCAAGAAUGAUCAAUUAAAAAAAAAAAAAAAGAAAAACAAAACACAGUCUCUCUAGCAGAUCUAAAUAAAACAUGACUUAAAACCUGAUUUCCUUCAGCACCUCCAAUGGAAAUGGAACAUAUUUCACAAAGGUAAGGUGGGAAAAGAUCUCAUUCCUUUUCUUUGUGGAAUAAAAUAUAAUCUGUUCUGUGUCUGCAUUGUACUGCACUAGUGGCUCAUUCAAUCUCAGUAGUUACUGGGGCUCUGAUUCCCUCGGAGUGCUGCAAAAAUCCUGGAGAAAUGCCAAAGACACCAGGGAGAACUCUCUGAACUUCCGUCUAACCUGUGUAAUGAGUCACACACUCCCUUACUGGUGGGAAGUUCUUUCCCAAUGAAAGCAUUUGAGGCUAUAAAUUUCUCCUAUGUACUGUUUUAGCUAUACAUCAUACAAGUUUUGAUAAUACAGUAUUUUCAUUACCCUUCAGGUCUGAGUAUUUUUAACAUUUGUUUUGUUUUUAUUUAGACUUUACAUUGUAGUGACAUAUUGCAGUCGUCAUCUUUCCUUUUUUUUUUUUUUUUUUUUGAGAUAGAGUCUUGCUCUGUUGCCCAGGCUAGAGUGCAGUGGCAAGAUCUCAGCUUACUGCAACCUUCAUCUCCCGGGUUCAAGUGAUUCUCCCGCCUCAGCCUCCUGAGGAGCUGGGACUACAGGCACGCGCCACCAUGCCUGGAAGAUUUUUAUAAUUUUAGUAGAGACAGGGUUUUACCAUGUUGGCCAGGCUGGUCUCAAACUCCUGACCUCAGGUGAUCCACCCGACUCAGCCUCCCAAAGUGCUGGCAUUAAAGGCGUGAGCCACCACGCCCAGCCCAUUUAUUCCUGAUACUGAUGUGCUGGUAUUAAUAUUUGAGACUUGCUUUGCAGCAUCAAAGUUACCACAUUCUAUGCUGUAGAUGAUAUUUGUAAAUAUUGUAAAUAUGCAAACAAUAUUAAUACAUACCCCAAAGGUGCUUGAGAAAAAUAUAUACAUUCUCUCAGUGUGGGUAAAGAUUUCUAAAUAUAUAUUUUUAAAAUAUCUAUUAAAAUCAAACCUAUGUUCCAAAUAUUACGGUACGAAAAGGGAAAAAUAAGAAUUUCACAGCAAAGAAGUCUGGCAGUCACCACCUUAACCAAGUGAUCAAGGUUAAUGUCACUGAUCAUGAGUCACAUUGAUAUAAUGUACCCCCCAUAUGAUGUGAUGAGAAGGGCAUUUCACCUCUGGAGUAUUCUUCCCAGAAACCCGUAGCCUCCAGUCUAAUCAUGAGAAAAUGUUAGGAACACCUAAAUUGAGGGCCGGGUGUAGUGGCUCAUGCCUGUAAUCCCAGCACUUUGGAAGGCCAAGGUGGGAAGAUCCCUGAGGCCAGGAGUAUGAGACCAGCCUGGCCAACAUGGUGAAACCCCGUCUCUAUUAAAAAUACAAAAAUUAGGCCGGGUGAGGUGGCUCACACCUGCAGUCUUAGCACUUGGGAGGCCGAGGCGGGUGGAUCACCUGAGGUCAGGAGUUCAAGACCAACCUGGCCAACAUGUGAAGGCCCAUCUUUACCAAAAAUACAAAAAUUAGCCAGGUAUGGUGGCGCACGUCUGUAAUCCCAGCUACCCAGGGGGCUGAGACAGGAGAAUCACUGGAACUCAGGAGGCAGAGGCUGCAGUGAGCUGAGAUCCCGCCACUGCACUCCAGUCUGCAUGACAGAGGGAGACUCCAUCUCAAAAAAACAAAACAAAAUACAAAAAUUAGCCGGGCAUGGUGGCACGCACCUGUAGUCUCAGCUACUCGGCAGGCUAAAGCAUGAGUAUCGUUUGAACCUGAGAAAUGGAGGCUGCAGUGAACUGAGAUUGUGCCACUGCACACCAGUCUGGGCAACAGAGCAAGACUCCAUCUCAAAAAAAAGAAAAAGAAAAAGAAAAAUCCAAAUUGAGAGACAUUCUACAAAAUAUCUUACCAACACUUUAAAACUGUCAAGGUCAUGAAAAACAAAGGAAGACUGAGAAACCAUUCCAGAUGGAGGAGAUUAAGGAUACAUAACUAAAUGUAAUGUGCUAUUCUGCAUGGCAGAGAAAAUGGACAUCAAUGGGAAAACUGGCGAAAUCCAGAUAGAGUCUGUGGUUCAGUUAAUGGUAAUGUAUCAGUGUUAAUUCCUUAAUUUUGACAAAUGUGUCAUGGUUACAUAAGAUGCUAAUAUUAGGGGAAGCUGGGUGAAGGGCAUAUGGGAACUCUAUGUACCAGGUUUUAAAUUUUUCUGUAAAUCUGAAGUUAUUCCAAAAUAAAAGUUUUAUGUAAAAAAAAAAUAGCUGCUCAUGGCAGGGCGUGGUGGCUCAUGCCUGUAAUCUCAGCACUUUGGGAGGCCAAGACUAGCGGAGGUCACUGAGGCGCACAGAGUUUAAAACUUGUCAUCAAAGUCACCCAGUUAAGUUGGACCAGAUCUGUGACUCCAAAGCCAGUGCUCACACCACUCCGGGCUGCAUGCCAGCCACACCAACCACCGUUGAGCUCCUCCCUGCAUCCUCCACGCAGCUUUUGGAUGUGGACCACUCUCCUCCUUUGCUCAGUUAAGUCUACUUCCCUGACUCCCAAGAGGUCAGGUGCCCUAUUUACUCUUGCAGCACCUUUCCCUCUUCCUCUGUAGAAUUUCUCAGAGUUUUUAACAAUUUAUGCAUCUUGUUUAUCUUGAUGAAAUUAUGAGCUAACAAAUGUCUGUUUUCACUGGCGUGCAUUCACAGUGCUUAGCACAGAGGCCAGCACUUAGUAAACAGGUAGUGACUGACUGAAUAACAAACGCUGGGUACACUAAAGUUAACUCCAGUAGGAUCUGUGUUAGAGAAGCACACCCAGGACUCGGUGUCUUGCCUCCAGAAGGCUCUGGAACAUGAGGCAGGAUUCCAUCAGGCAUGCCUGAUAUAUACCUCGCCCUGCUCUGCCAAGAUGGAGGAGAGGGGAUACCAGAGAAUGGGGGAUCCAAGCUGGAGCAGCUUCAUUAAGCCCCCACAAGAUGCAGCAGCCUUCCUGUAAAGGAGGCAUCCUUGAACCCCUUAUUGUCUAAAUCUAUGAUGUCCAGUAAGAUAGCUACUCGCCAUAUGUGGCUACUGAGCACUCUAAAUGUGGCUAGUCUAAACUGAGAUGUGCUGUAUGUAUAAAAUAUAUACCAGAUUUCAAAGAUUUCAUUUGGGGAAAAAUCUUAUUAAUAACUUUUAAUAUUGGCUGGGCAAGGUAGCUCAUGCCUGUAGUCUCAGCACUUUGGGAGGCCAAGGCGGGUGGAUCAUUUGAGGCCAGGAGUUCGAGACCCGCCUGGCAAACAUGGCAAAACCCCAUCUCUACUAAAAAUACAGAAAUUAGGGUAAGGUGGCACAUGCCUGUAAUACCAGCUACUUGGGAAACUGAGGUGGAAGGAUCACUUGAACCCAGGAGGCAGAGGUUGC
rnacentral:lncRNA from 10 species